rnacentral:rRNA from 2 species
GACGAACCGUGCGAACGUUGUUCGGAAUCACUGGGCUUAAAGGGCGCGUAGGCGGGCUGUCAAGUCUGGGGUGAAAUCCCGCGGCUCAACCGUGGAACUGCCUUAGAUACUGACGGCCUCGAGGAAGGUAGGGGCAUGCGGAACUGUAGGUGGAGCGGUGAAAUGCGUUGAUAUCUACAGGAACUCCGGUGGCGAAAGCGGCGUGCUGGACCUUUUCUGACGCUGAGGCGCGAAAGCUAGGGGAGCAAACGGG